CACCUCAUUCAAGCACUCCACUGCUAUUUGCACAAAACGAGACAAGACUACCCUGCAAUAAUUACUCUCUGAAGGGGGAAACAGGCAUAUUUUCUCUGCUGGCUUUUGCAGAAGUGCAUUUCUUUAGAAAAGCUUGCCUCAUGUUUAAUGCAUUUUCAGCUUAAUGAUAUUUUGUGCCACUGAGCUCCACCAGCCUAUUAAUUCAGUCUAGACACUCACCAGCUGUUCCCACCUGAAAAAGGCAUGGAAGACCAGAGUAAUAUUUGAGGUCAAUUGUCCUGAUUUUAUGGACCAGGAACAACUUCAUAAAACAAAUUAUUUGGAAGGAUGAAUGAAGUAGAAAACAGAAAGAACAGAAACCCACAUGGUAUAGAACAAAAAAUGGUCUGUAGGAUUCAUGGCAUAAAAUAGCUAUAAGCUAUGGCCCAAGCAAAGUCCUGUGUGAUACACAUGCUGUGAAGAGCCUCAGAUUUCCACUUAAUCACAAUAUUGUCCCUUGAAAACCCAACAACAGGUUUCAGGUCAUGUGCAACAUCUUCCACUGAAUAUGUCCUCUAACUCUCCAAAAACCUGUAUCCCAGGCCAGUUCAUAUCUGCCUGUCUUUGAAUGUCUGCAGAAACCAAGAAUUAUUUUCCUGAGGAAAUAAGAAAAAGAAGAAAUUAAAAGCAUGGGUGUACGAGAAUUCUCCACUGACAAUGACAGCAACCAGUUACCUGUCUUAAGCUAUGACCCAGUUUCUAAAUAUCAGUAUUGAGGUGGGAUAAAGUUAGGCCAAAAUAACCUAGAGAAGUAAUACAGUGGUGAGAAGUUUUUUAUUGAAAGUCCUUUUGUGGGUUUGUUUUUAUUCUUU